UACGUAGGUGGCGAGCGUUGUCCGGAUUUACUGGGCGUAAAGGGCGCGUAGGCGGCAAUUCAAGUCAUCUGUGAAAUCUCCGGGCUUAACUCGGAAUGGUCAGGUGAUACUGCUUUGCUAGAGUGCAGAAGGGGCAAUCGGAAUUCUUGGUGUAGCGGUGAAAUGCGUAGAUAUCAAGAGGAACACCUGAGGUGAAGACGGGUUGCUGGGCUGACACUGACGCUGAGGCGCGAAAGCUAGGGGAGCAAACGGG
rnacentral:rRNA from 1 species